rnacentral:rRNA from 1 species
CGUAGGUGGCAAGCGUUGUCCGGAUUUAUUGGGCGUAAAGCGAACGCAGGCGGGAGAACAAGUCAGCUGUGAAAGCCCUCGGCUUAACCGAGGAACGGCAACUGAAAACUGUUUUUCUUGAGUGCAGAAGAGGAGAGUGGAACUCCAUGUGUAGCGGUGAAAUGCGUAGAUAUAUGGAAGAACACCAGUGGCGAAGGCGGCUCUCUGGUCUGUAACUGACGCUGAGGUUCGAAAGCAUGGGUAGCGAACAGGAUU